ensembl:lncRNA
AUGUGUGUGUGUGUGUGUGUGUGUGUGUGUGUGUGUGUGUCUGUGUGUGUAUACUUACAGUCAGACCCUGAUCCCCCAACAGCUACAGCAUUCCUUUCUGCGACGUUUGAAACGUUCGCGACGUAUCAGACGUCUGCAACGUCUGCUAGGUCUGCUACGUCUGCUACGUCUGCUACGUCUGCUAGGUCUGCUACGUCUGCUAGGUCUGCUACGUCUGCAAUCUCUGCCAUUCCUGAAACGUCGGCAACUUCUGCUAAAUUUGAGCCAUAUGCAACGUCUGCGAUGUGCGUACUCCCUCCUCCGCUUUUCCCUCCUAAGUCUGUAAUAGGCCUUCUUCCAGCGCGACAUGGGCCUCUUGACACACCGGUAUUUACAGGUAUAUGGACCCUUGGGUUUGUGUUUGAAGAUGGUACACUUAUCUUGCCUCAUGCUACAUCUGGAAACAGAGAGGAGAUGUGAUCAGAACCAGAACCAGAGGUGGACCGCACACUGCCACGCUGCUCAUCUCUACAUUUGUCCCAUAAUAACCAUGUUAUUGUUGCCCUCAAGCGGACGGAACGUGAAUCAUGUAGAUGUUGUUUUACCUUUUAAGUAUGGCAGCCUCGGUUGUAAAGAAACAACGAGCAGUGUUACGUCCGAUGGUCACCCCAUAACACGGCUUUCUGUCCCUGUAACAGUUCACCUUUACCACCUGGCCACGACCUGGAGGAGAGAGAAGUGUCACACAGUGAAGACUUCGUGUCAUUCGGUCACGAGCUGACAAACAGACUGAACGUAGUCGACGAGGACAGACAGAAAGACGAGUGUGUGUUGACUCACCGCAGGCCAACAGUGUGUACCACUUCCGGACUUUGAUUUGCACUCCCUCUGUGAAGACACACAGGUGAGACUGUGACAUCAUCAUAUCAUCAUUUACAUUUGAUAUUUAUUACCAUUACACAUAUUUCUGUAUUAACACUCAUAAACUGAUCAUAAAAGCUGUAAAAGCACCAGAACAGUAAAUAAUAAUGAUGAUCGAGCAGGAUAAAAACUCACCAGCAUCUCCAGAGAAACACCAAGCUGCAGCCAGCACUGUAACACAACACAGUAACACAACACUGUAACACAACACAGUAACACAACACUGUAACACAACACUGUAACACAACACAGUAGCACAUCAGAGGUCUUUAUUGUGACUCAAAGCUGAGGUGAAGGUGUGAACGUGUCUGGACCCUCUGAGGGUUCAGAACAUCAUCACCUGGGAUCAGUUCACCUUCAGCACCAACAUCAUCAUUAGAAAUGACAACAUACGUGUAGGAAGAAAGUCAGUGACACAUGUGGAGUCACAGAGAGUAACUAAGUACAUGUACUCAGUCAGUCAGUGACACAUGUGGAGUCACAGAGAGUAACUAAGUACAUGUACUCAGUCAGUCAGUGAGUACUGGACUGUAUAAAUGUACUCCACUACAUCUGAGAGGAUACUCACGGCCGAGGACGAUGAGGCUGAGUCGGACCAUGUUGGCUUCUCUCAGCUUCUCUUCUGUCUUCACCUGAAGACCGUCUGAUGCUGAGAGCGUCUCUACGACAGGUAUUUAUGCUUCUCUCCUCGCAGCACACCUGUUGACACCUGUCCGCCGCCGGCGAAGGCAAACAGGACCUGGUGAUUUGACCAACAUGCAAAUCCCCUUUAGAGCUGCAGGGCAGAAGC